GGGGAAUAUUGGGCAAUGGGGGAAACCCUGACCCAGCAACGCCGCGUGAAGGAAGAAGGUUUUCGGAUCGUAAACUUCUAUCCUUGGUGAAGAUAAUGACGGUAGCCAAGAAGGAAGCCCCGGCUAACUACGUGCCAGCAGCCGCGGUAAUACGUAGGGGGCAAGCGUUGUCCGGAAUGAUUGGGCGUAAAGGGCGCGUAGGCGGCCUGGUAAGUCUGGAGUGAAAGUCCUGCUUUUAAGGUGGGAAUUGCUUUGGAUACUGUCGGGCUUGAGUGCAGGAGAGGUAAGCGGAAUUCCCGGUGUAGCGGUGAAAUGCGUAGAGAUCGGGAGGAACACCAGUGGCGAAGGCGGCUUACUGGACUGUAACUGACGCUGAGGCGCGAAAGUGUGGGGAGCAAAC
rnacentral:rRNA from 1 species